AGGCAGCAGUGGGGAAUAUUGCACAAUGGGGCGCAAGCCUGAUGCAGCCAUGCCGCGUGUAUGAAGAAGGCCUUCGGGUUGUAAAGUACUUUCAGCAGUGAGGAAGGCGGGUGUGUUAAUAGCGCAUUCGUUUGACGUUAGCUGCAGAAGAAGCACCGGCUAACUCCGUGCCAGCAGCCGCGGUAAUACGGAGGGUGCGAGCGUUAAUCGGAAUUACUGGGCGUAAAGCGCAUGCAGGUGGUUUGUUAAGUCAGAUGUGAAAGCCCGGGGCUUAACCUCGGAAUUGCAUUUGAAACUGGCAGGCUAGAGUCUUGUAGAGGGGGUAGGAAUUUCAGGUGUAGCGGUGAAAUAGCGUAGAGAUCUGAAGGAAUACCAGUGGCGAAGGCGGCCCCCUCGGACAAAGAACUGACGCUCAGAUGCGAAAGCGUGGGGAGCAAACAGGAUUAGAUACCCUGGUAG
rnacentral:rRNA from 1 species